rnacentral:rRNA from 3 species
UGUUUGAUGUUCUAACGUGGACCCGUGAUCCGGGUUGCGGACAGUGUCUGGUGGGUAGUUUGACUGGGGCGGUCUCCUCCUAAAGAGUAACGGAGGAGCACGAAGGUUGGCUAAUCCUGGUCGGACAUCAGGAGGUUAGUGCAAUGGCAUAAGCCAGCUUGACUGCGAGCGUGACGGCGCGAGCAGGUGCGAAAGCAGGUCAUAGUGAUCCGGUGGUUCUGAAUGGAAGGGCCAUCGCUCAACGGAUAAAAGGUACUCCGGGGAUAACAGGCUGAUACCGCCCAAGAGUUCAUAUCGACGGCGGUGUUUGGCACCUCGAUGUCGGCUCAUCACAUCCUGGGGCUGAAGUAGGUCCCAAGGGUAUGGCUGUUCGCCAUUUAAAGUGGUACGCGAGCUGGGUUUAGAACGUCGUGAGACAGUUCGGUCCCUAUCUGCCGUGGGCGCUGGAGAACUGAGGGGGGCUGCUCCUAGUACGAGAGGACCGGAGUGGACGCAUCACUGGUGUUCGGGUUGUCAUGCCAAUGGCACUGCCCGGUAGCUAAAUGCGGAAGAGAUAAGUGCUGAAAGCAUCUAAGCACGAAACUUGCCCCGAGAUGAGUUCUCCCUGAGACUUAAAGUCUCCUGAAGGAACGUUGAAGACGACGACGUUGAUAGGCCGGGUGUGUAAGCGCAGCGAUGCGUUGAGCUAACCGGUACUAAUGAACCGUGAGGCUUAACCUUACA